GGUUAUUUAGUUUAUAUAAAACAAAUGUUUUGAAAACAUUAAAAAAGUAAAAGUACUUAUUAAUCG
rnacentral:tRNA from 1 species